UUAACUUAGAAUCAUUAUUAUUAUCCUAUUGGUGUUAAAAGUCAUGAAGUCAUGCAAUAUGCAGUCAUGUAAGCAACAACUGCCUGCUUAAACAUCCACAUAGAGCAAUAUUAUCAUUCAUCUGGAGUCAUGUUUCUGGCUACUGUAGACAAUCAUGUCAUGGAGGCGGUGGAACGGAAGGCGUUGUUCAGGAUGUUAACCCACUUGGACAGCAUCCUCUUCUCUGUCGCUACCUCCAGACAGUCCAGCUCAACUCCUUCUCCAAUCACUGAGCACAUGUAAUUGCUGUUGCUUAUAUGUUAUAUAGUUUGUCAAGAACUAUAUCAAAACAAAUUAAAAGAUUAUGCCGUUAAAAGAC